CAACUCUCAGCAACGGAUCUCUUGGCUCUCGCAUCGAUGAAGAACGCAGCGAAAUGCGAUAAGUAAUGUGAAUUGCAGAAUUCAGUGAAUCAUCGAAUCUUUGAACGCACCUUGCGCUCCUUGGUAUUCCGAGGAGCAUGCCUGUUUGAGUGUCAUUA
rnacentral:rRNA from 1 species